UACGUAGGGUGCAAGCGUUGUCCGGAAUUAUUGGGCGUAAAGAGCUCGUAGGCGGUUUGUCGCGUCUGCUGUGAAAACUCGGGGCUUAACCCCGGGCCUGCAGUGGGUACGGGCAGACUAGAGUGCGGUAGGGGAGACUGGAAUUCCUGGUGUAGCGGUGGAAUGCGCAGAUAUCAGGAGGAACACCGAUGGCGAAGGCAGGUCACUGGGCCGCAACUGACGCUGAGGAGCGAAAGCAUGGGGAGCGAACAGG
rnacentral:rRNA from 1 species